UGGGGAAUAUUGCGCAAUGGAGGAAACUCUGACGCAGCAACGCCGCGUGUGUGAUGAAGGCCCUCGGGUCGUAAAGCACUGUCAUCAGGGAAGAAUAUUGACGGUACCUGAGAAGGAAGCACCGGCUAACUCCGUGCCAGCAGCCGCGGUAAUACGGAGGGUGCAAACGUUGUUCGGAAUCAUUGGGCGUAAAGCGCGCGUAGGCGGCUACGUAGGUCGGGUGUGAAAUCCCAGGGCUCAACCCUGGAACUGCGCUCGAAACCCCGUAGCUUGAGUCCCAGAGGGAGAAGUGGAAUUCCUGGUGUAGGGGUGAAAUCCGUAGAUAUCAGGAGGAACACCGGCGGCGAAGGCGACUUCUUGGCUGGUGACUGACGCUGAGGUGCGAAAGCGUGGGUAGCAAACAGG
rnacentral:rRNA from 1 species